UGUCGGGGUGUGUUUUCAGGUUGUGUUUGAGGUGUGAGCUCUGUGGUGGAAUAUUGGUUUGUAUUUAGUCCUCCCUCUGUUUUACUUAUGUCCUCUGUUAUGCAACAUGCGUAGUCAUGGUAACUUUGUCUUCUGUUGUUGUUAUCCCUUAAUCUUCUAUUUUCUGGCGUUGUACCUGACUUGUAAGUCUGCCAACUUAUUACAUUUAAUUGCAGUAAUUGACGUGUUUUCCUCUGACUGAAGGAGCGUCUCUCUGAGAGGCCUCUACUGUAUCUCUCGCCAUGAGACACUUCAGGACCACGGACAGCGGAGCUGGAGAGCCAAAUGGACCCUGAUUCUGCAUUGAGUCGUGGGUUAGGGUUAGGGUUAGGUUUGGGCCAAGUCUAGGGGUCAGGCCCAUCACACAGUGAGCUGCUGGCAGGGUUAGGGUCUAAAAAA
ensembl:lncRNA